GGGUUGUGAGGUUAAGCGACUAAGCGUACACGGUGGAUGCCCUGGCAGUCAGAGGCGAUGAAGGGCGUGCUAAUCUGCGAUAAGCGCCGGUAAGGUGAUAUGAACCGUUAUAACCGGCGAUACCCGAAUGGGGAAACCCAGUGUGACUCGUCACACUAUCAUUAACUGAAUCCAUAGGUUAAUGAGGCGAACCGGGGGAACUGAAACAUCUAAGUACCCCGAGGAAAAGAAAUCAACCGAGAUUCCCCCAGUAGCGGCGAGCGAACGGGGAGGAGCCCAGAGCCUGAAUCAGCAUGUGUGUUAGUGGAAGCGUCUGGAAAGGCGCGCGAUACAGGGUGACAGCCCCGUACACAAAAGCGCAUGUGCUGUGAGCUCGAUGAGUAGGGCGGGACACGUGGUAUCCUGUCUGAAUAUGGGGGGACCAUCCUCCAAGGCUAAAUACUCCUGACUGACCGAUAGUGAACCAGUACCGUGAGGGAAAGGCGAAAAGAACCCCGGCGAGGGGAGUGAAAAAGAACCUGAAACCGUGUACGUACAAGCAGUGGGAGCCCCACCACCAAAGCAUUUGCUGUACCGCGUUGACGGAGCG
rnacentral:rRNA from 1 species